GCUUCUGUAGCUCAGUUGGUUAGAGCACUUCA
rnacentral:snRNA from 1 species